UUGGAGGGCAAGUCUGGUGCCAGCAGCCGCGGUAAUUCCAGCUCCAAUAGCGUAUAUUAAAGUUGUUGCAGUUAAAAAGCUCGUAGUUGAAUUUCGGGAUCGGUGGGUCGGUCGUGCCUCCGGUACGCACUGUCUUUACCGGUUCCUCCCUUCUGAAGAACCGCGAUGUCAUUAAUUUGGUGUUGCGGGGAAUCAGGACUGUUACUGUGAAAAAAUUAGAGUGUUUAAAGCAGGCUAACGCUUGAAUACAUUAGCAUGGAAUAAUGAAAUAGGACGUUCGAUCUUAUUUUGUUGGUUUCUAAGAUUGACGUAAUGAUUAAUAGGGAUAGUUGGGGGCAUUAGUAUUCAAUUGUCAGAGGUGAAAUUCUUGGAUUUAUUGAAGACUAACUACUGCGAAAGCAUUUGCCAAGGAUGUUUUCAUUAAUCAAGAACGAAAGUUAGGGGAUCGAAGACGAUCAGAUACCGUCGUAGUCUUAACCAUAAACUAUGCCGACUAGGGAUCGGAUGAUGUUAAUUUUUAAUGACUCAUUCGGCGCCUUACGGGUAAC
rnacentral:rRNA from 1 species